rnacentral:lncRNA from 10 species
UGGGUGCAGUGACUCACAUCUGUAAUCCUAACACUUUGGGACACCAAGGCGGGAAGAUGGCUUGAGCCCAGGAGUUUGAGACCAGUCUGGGCAACAUAGUGAGACCCUGUCUCUCUCUCUAUAUAUUUUUUUUAAUUAGCCUGGCAUGGUGGUGCACCUGUACUCCUAGUGGGAGGCUGAGGUGGGAAGAUCGCUUGAGCCCAGGGGGUUGAGGCUGCAGUAAGAUGUGAUCGUGCCACUGCACUCCAGCCUGAGCAACAGAGCAAGACCCUGUCUCAAUAAAUAAAUAAACUCACUCUUUCCUCCAUCACUGGAAGAUAAAGCAUAAGAAUAAUAAAGAAAAAGUAACUUACCUUAGUCGAGUCUUCUAAGGAUCCAACUUAGUUUUUAUAGAAACAGUGCUGCUUUUCCCACUCUCAGUUCAUCAAUUUAUUUUUUUUUAAAGAUAAAUUUUCUUUUACAUUGACAUGGGGUCUCACUAUGUUGCCCAGGGUGGUCUCAAACUCCUGGGCUCAAGCAAUCCUCCCACCUUGGCCUCGCAAAGUGCUAGGAUUACAAGGGUGAGCCAUCUCACCUGGCCUGUUCAUCAAUGUGUAUAGUAUUUAAUUACAUUAUGAAUUACAAUAACACAUACAACGGGCAUAGACACACUUGAUAUUAAAUCACAAUGGACUCUGGGUAAGCAAGGGCUUAGCUGGGGAAGUGGAACUGCACAGCAUUCUAGAAAGUGCUCACUGCCUGGGUUUGAUUCCCAGCUUCUCUACAUACUAGUUAUGUGACCUGGGAAUUCAGAUUACUGAAGCUUUGUGCCUUAUUUUCCUCAUUUGCGAAAGGGGAUAAUAGCACCUCAUAUAUUUGUUGUGAGGAUUAGAGGAGAAUACACUUGUGAAGCACCUAGAAUAGGGUGGGGCAUGAGCUAAGCACCUAGAAUAGGGUGGGGCAUGAGCUAAGCACCUAGAAUAGGGUGGGGCCUGAGCUAAGCACCUAGAAUAGGGUGGGGCCUGAGCUAAGCACCUAGAAUAGGGUGGGGCAUGAGCUAAGUACUUGGGAAAUGUUACAUCACAUCACUGUUCCUGUGGCUGCUGGCAGGAGCUGUCCUACAGGCUACAGGCCACAGCCUAGGCCUGCGCCCAGCAUCCCCUGUGUUUCACAGAGAAGUAAGGUGCAUUGGUUGGGUAAGAUGCCUCUUCUGUAGUAUUAUAUCCUCAUUUCUCAUGUGCAAAAAUGGACGUCUGGAGACAGUCAGUGACUCCAAAGCUACUUGACCACGAAGUCAGUUUUUAGAACUGCCAGGCCCCUAGCAAUCGUAAGAUUUGGAUUCAGAAAGACAGGGAAUUUGCCAUCCAUUUUCCUUUUUUCUUUUACCUACUGAGUCCAAAAAUCCCAAGGAGGAACAAACAGAACCUCUCAGG